UGUCAUCUUUUAACCUCUCAAUUUUAUUUCUUCUUCUUUGAAUCAAAGUAGUCAUAUUGAAGAAUUUUGUAUUUCUGUCGCCCUCCUGCAGCCGCUUGAUCCUGGACUUUUGCUACCAGAACAAAGCUUCUUGUCCAAGAAUAGCAUUGAAAUCGUCAAUGAGAGCUUCUUGUUCAAUAAUACAUUAUGGAAAUCACCUAUAAUUAGAAUUGGUACUUGCCCAUUAACUUUGUGAGAAAUGAGAUCCCA
rnacentral:lncRNA from 1 species